GGCUUCGCCGCCUUCUCGGCGACCACCACCAGCGUCCGGUCCUGCACGCUCACGCGCACGUCCUCCCGCGUCAUGCCCGGCAUGUCGAACCGGACCAGGUAGUCCCCCGCCCGCUCCUUGAUCUCCCACGGUGUCCGCCCGCGUCGGUCGUCCGCGCGCCGUGCCGUGGGCGGCACCGUCGCGCCCGGCACCACGAAAGGGCGACGGCCGUCGUCGUCGUCGGCCUCGUCCAUGAUGCGCUCCAUGGUGCGCAUCAUCUGGUCCAGGGUUCGCGCGUCCGGGAAGCUGUCCCAUAGCCCUGCCAAUCCAAGAAUUCAAUCACCAAGAACAUGAUUAAGCCAUUCGACCAGAUUUUCGGCGAAAAAUCAUCAAGAAUGCAUGGCAUGGCACUCCGGGAGCUCUUACCAAAUGGCGUGGUUUGGAUGACCCUCCUCCUCGGAGCAGGAUUCCCAUUCCCCUGCCGCGGCUGUCUAGCCGUCGCCGUCGGGGGCCUCCGCAGAUGGUCAAGGUUAUCGGCGGAUCCGUUCCUGGUGGACCGGACCCUCACCGAGCCUCGCCCAGGGCGGCAAGGAGCCCCCAGGGACGCGGCGACGGGUUGCGGGUUGGAGACCACCGCCUGCAGCAUUCUCGCCGGAGAUUUGAUUCGCCUUGGACUUGGAUUGAUUGGUUGUUUGAGGAGAAAUGAGCGCGACUGUACAACGCAAUGCUGCCCUGUGUUUUUUAUAGAGAGGGGGGAGGAGAGAUUUGGCGGACGCAGCACAGGGAUCAUGAGAAGGAUGGAGUGGUUUCUAGAGAAAGGUUUGAGGUUCCAGACCUAUCUUUUUCAAUCUUCAGGUUUUGUUUUUGGUUUUCAGAACAGGUUCCAGAACUUUCAGGACGCGUACGCUGGACCACGGAUUUUGCAUUGGAUCUGUAUUGCAUAAGCCCAUGGACUUUGAGAGAUAUAGCCCAUCAAACAUUUCGAAUAUCACUUGCUAGAUUUCAACCCCUUAAUUAUUAUUUUUAGAUUUCAAAAUGCAACCAAAAUGGAAGCGGAAUACAAGGCAAACAAUGGUAUCAGGCGUGCGGGGAUGCCGAAUGAUGCGCCCAUCCGCCCUCACUUGUCAUCGUGUUGGGUGCACCAGCGGGAUUCCAAGUUUUUUUUUGCACUUGUUUCUGGGGGUUGUCUUUCUACAGAUUUUGGCAGAAUUUUUAAAAUUAUACUCCCUCCAUAAAGAAAUAUAAGAGCGUUUAGAGCACCAACGUAGUGAUUAAAGGCUCCUAUAUUUCUUUACAGAGCUAGUAUUUAUUGGAAACGGUGUGUUUUUUCUUUCAUGAAACACAUAUGUGCUUUCAAAAAAGAGAAGAAAAAAAGCAUAGUUGUGCUUCAUAAAGAAAGAAAGAAAGAAAAAGGCUCUGCUUCAAAAAGGAAUAUCCUGUGCUUCUAUGAAAACCUCAACCUAUGCUUCUCAAAAGAGAAAAGUACAGUUAUGCUCCCCAGAAAUAUGUAGAAGUACAAUUGUGCUUCCAGAGAAGCACAGUCGUGCUUCUUGAAAAGGAAAAAUAUAGUUAUGCUUCCUGAAAAAAGAAAAAGCAAGUAUGUGCUUCCCAGAAAAAGAUAGAACUGUGCUUUCAGGUAAUUUUGGGGGGUCUUUUUUCCUGGUUUUUUUUUGUUUUCUUUUUAUCUUUUGUUUUUUUGUUUCUUUUUUUCAAACUUGUUUUUCAGUCCUGGUUCUUUGGUUUUUUUAUGAAAAAAAGUUCGUCGAAACCUAUAACCAAUAGAUCUAGUUUAAAGGUAUUGACUUGAGAAAUCCAACGGUGUAGAUGGUUCUCUAUUUCUACGCACGGUUCAAGAGAUAAACUGUUUUGAAAAAUGAAUCUAUGGAAAGAAAGAAAGAAAAACACUCAGUUUGCGACAAGUGACGCACAUGUAGUGUGACGGACAUACAGUGUGCCACUUGUUGAGAAUGACCUUUAAAGGAGAUGCCUCAUUAUUAUUAUUUUUAGCAAAGAUGUCUCUUUACUUUGACGCAGCAAAGAUGUCUCUUAAUUAGUGAUUUCGGCAAAUAAUAGCAAUAACCUACUACUGCACCGAACAGCAUGGGCUACGGUUUUAGGAACUUAUGCUACACUAGUAAACUGCUCGUGCGUUGCCACGGGCCAACAAAUGAAUUUGUAAACAAUGCUCACUCUUUCCCAACAAUGAGCACAUUGCGCCAGCACACAAUGUUCAACCACAAUACAAAUGCAAUCCUCCUUUCUAUUCUUACAAAUAGCACACAAGGUUUUCUUUUCGUUUAGACGAGUUGAAAGAAUAGGGAUUCUCGGGAAAGAGUCUCUUGGGCGAGAGAAUAUCCGUAGCGGACAGAUUUUAGGCAAGUGAACAAUAACUUAGGCUCGCCAUUAUUAUUGGUCCCUAAACUUUGAUGUUCACCCGAUUUGCUACUCUGACCCAGGCUUUUGGCAACUUGGUAUAAGUCGGGCUCAAUAGGAGGCUCUAGCUCGCUAACGCUAAGCUAACCUCCUUGUUUUUAGGGAAACAGUGUUUUUUUAUUGAUUUUCAAAUAAGAUGUACUCCAUUCGUCCGAAAAAGCUUGUCCCUCGAAUGGAUGUAUCUAGCACCAAAUUACUGCUAGAUACAUUCAUUUGAUGGACAAGCUUGGGACAAGCUUUUUCGGACAAAGGGAGUAGAUGGUGAGGUUCAAAACAAAAAUAAUCUAUACAAUCAAAAGGAAAGUACAAAAAGCAAAACAAACAAAGGCAGAAAAUACAACAGAUACAACAAAGCUAUCAAGAGCUGUAUCUGAAAACCUGAACCCAAUCCAUGAGGCCAGUGAGCUCCUUUCUCUUUGUCGUGUAGGUGAACCAUUUUACUUCCUCCUUAAAUCGACGCCGGCAAUUAUAGAGAUUUGGAGGAAUGUGCUGGAAGAUGAAGUCGUUCCUUGUGGUCCAAAUUGCCCAUGAGAUCAGUAUAAUAAUGUCCAUGGCAAAAGGCAGAUUUAGCAACUGUUUGUGAUGGGCAACUUCGUCUUGAAUAUCUGUCCCAGUAGGGAGGGUUCCAUGAAGGACAAACAUAUUGCCAACAGAGUUUUGCAAAAGGGCAUACGAAGUACAAGUGAUCCGUUGCCUCCAAUGCUGGUCUAUGACACAUGACACAUGUGUAAUCCUGAAUGAAGAAGUUCUUUCUCUGUACCAUAACUCUUGUGUUAUGUCUGUGAUUAAUCAGCUAACCUCCUUUUCCAGACUUGUUUUCAAUGUGUGGGCACCUUUUCCUUUCUACGUGCGCGGCCGCAAUCUUCCUUGCCGGAUUUGAGCGUCACGCCUCACAUGAUGUCCAAUUUGUACCUGAAGUAUAGCAGCAGCACAAUUCUUAGCGCAACAAUGUUUGUGAUGACGAUCAAGUGACUGUAGCUCAACGAUAAGUCUCCACUUACUUCUUUUAGUUAAGUCUUCACUUAGUUGGCGGUGAAGCAUUUACUCUCUGAUGGAGAAGAACUUGUUGAUCUCUGCUGCCGGUGGAAUCAUUGCUCUUGCCUCUAAGUCUAAGUGGAACGAUGUCGUGGUCGUCGUUGUUGUCGGAUACCUCCCGUGUUUGUGCUUUGAUCUGCUUGCUCAGCGACCAACACGACGACGUUGUCUCUCUCCCGAAUUACCACAACUUGGGACAAAUUAAAUCAGUUAAAGAUGACCCCGGAGAGUAGGAAGCAACAGACAAUUUUGGAGAACUCCAUGGGUGAGCGAGUAACAUAACUCUCCCAUCCAGUGCACUCAAUGACACUGAUGAAGCUCUCCAUGCCAGAGCUCACGCACGCCUGCAGACCAAGACAGCAGAACCUAAUCUAGUAAUUCAGCAACAGAAAUGGCCCAGUCAACAGCUCAAAUUAACAUGAAAUUCUAGAGCUCCCACUCACCUUGCUUCAUCACUAUUGAUACAUCUAGUCGCCACGUGCACCACAGAAGAUGCAGUGCUUUAGCAGCGCGACCCCGGUCACAUUCAACUCCAUUAGUGAUGGAAGGUGUGUGCACACCUGCACAUUAAAGAAACAGAUUCAUACCUUCUCCAUUAGUGAAACACACAAGCUGGCAAACCAGGGAAUGCUUAGCACAAGUGGCUUCAGAUUCACAUGUGGUGUCAACAUUAUAUGCAAAUCCAAAAGAUGAAAAUAGCAAUAUGAUCACGUCAGAGGUCUGUCCAAUGAAAGAUAUUUGAACACGUUGUCUGUAUAAAGCAUCAGGGACAACACUAACCUGCACAGACAAUUUGAUGGAAUCCACCUUCACAUUCACAUUUACAUUUGCUAUGCUAGUCCACCGAAUCAGACGUAUCAACAUAAUAAAAGCUAUCAACAAAAGAAGAAUGCAUACCCCAUAUUAAAAUUCUAGGAACAGUUGGUUAAAGUAUCUCCUUAAGAGUGAAAAGUAAUGAUAUUUUGUGUAGCGACGAUAGGCAUCAUUUGAGUAAAUAUAUUUUUAUCCCGCUGAAAGGAUUGCAUUAAGAAUUGUAAAGAGUAUUCAGAGAAAUUAGAGACCUUGUAGUGUAUGUUGAAGAGCACCAAGUCGAGUUAUGGCAAAUAUAAUCAAAUGAUGACAUGAACAUAAAAAUGGCACAUGAUUUCUACAACUGAUCUAAUGAGCUAAAAUAUAUAUUUGAGAGCUCUUUUUUUUAUCGGUGAUUUUUCUGAAGACAUAAAUGGAAGCUUUGUACAAUAUAUUAGAACAUUUAAGUAAUAACAAUAUCAUGGUCAAAGGAAUAACAACCAACCAUUCAUGAGCUGCAGGCAAGUGUAAAUAAUUUGUAUUCUUAUGCUACAAUAUCGACAAAGGAAAGCAACUGUCAUGAGAUGCAGUCUUCCUUGUAUCUCCACCCAAAUAGAUAUUUCGAACAUAAUUUAACCAAUUUCCUUUAUUUAUAUGUUUUCUCGGGAUGGAUUGUGCAAACAAAAUACUACAACAUGAUGCACCGGCCAUCCCUUUAAAUGCAGUCGUCAUCUCCGUCACGGAGUCACCUGAGACCUCAUAUACCCUGCACUCGAAUCCAUUAAUCCCCUACCUCUUAUCCGCCAGCGACGACCCACCUCUGCUACCGGUUCUUCUUCUUCCUCUCAUCGCUGCUUUUUUUCGUCCACAACCCGCUCACCUCUCCCAUAAUCAUUUAUAGUGCCCGUGACAUCAUGCACCCCACACUCAAGUCUGUUAACCCCUCGCGCCUCUCCUACACCGGCGACAAACUGUUGUAGCUAAUAUUCUAUUCCUCCCACCGCCUACCUUUUUCUUCGUCCACUCUAACAACCCACCCACCUAUACCUGCCCAACCACUUCCCACCACCAUCCACGACCAGCAAGUGUUGUCACACACUACCUCAUCGGCCCCUACCCGAGUCGGCACCUCUGUCGCCGGCAAACCCUCUAAACCCUGCCAUCAUCUCUAGUGACUGCGACGUCCCGCACCGGUGCGCUCCUUCGCCAGCGACGACAUGGCAAGCCACAUCGUCGUCACCUUUGAUGAGGUCCUAAUGAGCUGUCACCAAGGAUGCCACGACCAACCAUGCAGGGCUCAAGGCUCUGCGUGCAUUGCUAGCGGAAAAAUGGUGUCAUCGAGAGGAAAGCACGUUCCAAAAUCAUCUUAAUGAACGUGAGCGUGUUCAGGCCUACUAAGCUCCAAACAGAUCUCUAUAAAUCAUGUUAAUCAUGCAUCAUCAUCACCUUUGAUGAGGUCCUAAUGAGCAGAUGUAAAAAUAAAUUAGCAAGCUAAAGUCUUUCACUCUUCACACACUGACCCAAUACGAGCUAAAAAAAGCUCAUAAUAAUUGGUGAGACCAGUGUAAACAAAGCAAAACAACAACAAAGAAGCAAAUCUUAUCUGAUCUAUAUACCCAAGCGUUUGAGUUCUCUAUCAUUUUGGCUUCCUCCAAUAUAGAAGCACUUACUGCAAAGUUUUUGCAUACAUCUUAUUUUUAUAUAAUGCAUCCUAUCUGGGCAAAACUAUAUUACAGAACUAUUGAUGGAAUUUAAACCAUAAAGAACAGGAUAAGCAUCUCUAAACUCCAUAAGAUCGUAAGUUAUAUGAUUUUUCAAUAAAAGGAUCAAAUACUAAAAUUUAUCCAUCCAUACAUGUUUCAAGUUUUACUCAAUUAGAAACAUGUUUCCAGAUUGGUACUGCUCCUAAGGUAAACAAAAUAGCUAUAGGAUUUGUACUUACAUACGACUCUUGGAGUGCCUCUCCUUCCUAUUAAUUUCGGCCGAGACGUACAUAAUAACACAGAGCAACAUCAAAUCAAGCAAGAUAUGUAUGAUCAGCUCUCUGAAAGCGGGAGCAUCUAAUCUUUUAUAAGACAAUACUAUAUGCCAAUGUUUCAAGCUUGUACCACAAAACUGAAACUGAACUUUCAGAUUUUGCUUCCCAAUUGCAAAGGUAAAUGUACGCCACUCCAAGUAAAUAAUAAGGGAAUAAGGGGCUGUUUGGAUGGUGCCCAAGCCAGCCCCGCCAAAACAAGGGAAUGUGCCGCCGGGAACUCGCCCGCACGCUGCUGCAGAAUAACAUGGGUAACCAAAUAAUUGGCUGAGAUCCGAAAUUUUGGCCGUGAACCAAACACACGCCAGCCUGCCGACCAAUAUUUUGGAAGGGCAGCCACUGGCUGUCAUCCGAACAGGGCCUAAACCAUCUGUAUUGUGGUUCAUUUCAGUAAAAUUUGCAGUUGGGAAUAAACUAAAGAUCAACCAAUACUGGAGAUACACUUCACGGGUCAGGAGCGCAGGGCCCUCCGUCACUGCUGCCUAGUCCUCCCUGCUCCCGCAGAGCGGGCCCGCGUUUCCACCGAGCCGAGGUAGCUGGCCAUUGCGGAAGAAGGGACAACCAUAGGUCGAUGUGCAUCUAUGGCUUCCCCAUCAUUCAUUGCCGCAGUUCCCAUAGCUCAAUGGGAUUCUUUAAUAUUUGUGUUCGAUGUCCCUUAUCACCCCCUCGUUUUCAUUAGUGGUUUGAUAAAUUGAUCCGUAGACAUCUGGAUGAAUGAACAGAAAUUUUAAUUCCUAAUUGCUUUAAAUAUUUGAAUUCCAAACAGUAGUUUCUGAAAGUAGACAUCUUCUCUUGGAUCUAAUUGAUUGUCCAAUUCACAUAUUCUGGUAAACUUGCAGAAAUUGCAGUAUAUCGGGCAUAUACCUUGUCGCCUUAGAACUUUAAUUUGUCGUGUCACCAAAAUUGUAUAGGCCAGUUGGUUCUCUAUUUAUUUGUGAAAAUAACACUAAAUUGCUAAACGUCCUAGAAAGAUCAGCACCAAGUGUAAGUGCAUCUAGUGCCACCCCCAGUUGGUUUUGGAGUAUUGACGACAAAGUUGGUUGAGGGACUAAUGCGUUUGUGAGAAUUGCAGGAUAACGCAGGUAGUGUCCCUCAUUGAUUCGGUUUACCUACCGGAGAUGACCCCUAAAAAUGUAUGAAGACAUUGACGACAAUGGUGGUAAGUGAAGAUAUUCAUAUUGAAGACUAUGACAUGAGAAGACAUUGUAUGAAUACUAUGGAGCGCGAAGACUGUGUUAUUUCGUUGUUUCCUUUUCUUCUUUGUUGAGUCAUAGGAACCACCGUACUGUUAAGUGGGGUCCAAGUGAACAAAGUCAGAAUGACUGAAGUGAUGCUCAACCCAAAUCCUAUGUCUUCGAGCAAAGACAAUGAGAGCAAAUCUUAUCCAGAGCUGGAUGAGACAGCUUUGCUUGUAGCCCAAGUAAAGUUGCCGUGUGUGUUUGAAAUCUGACCGUUGAACACGUGUCAGUUCCUUAGUGACCCAGGGUCAUUUCGGACAUAUCAGGUCAGGUUGCCUUAUGGCUAUAAAUAUCCCACCCCCUACACCAUAAAUUGGUGGCUGCUCAGAGUUAGUUCACGGUUUUUGUCGUUUGAGAGCAACCCACCUCGAAGCCUUUGAGAGAGAGAAAUCCUUGCGAGGACAAAGCCCAAACACCCAGAGCCAAAGAGUGUUAGGCAUCACUGAAGUCUUUCUGUCUGUGUGACCUGAAGACUUAUUACACUUGAGGACUGUGUAUCCUCCAGCCGGUUAGGCGUCGCAUUCUGAGCAUCCAAGAGUCAUUGUGGAUUGCCGGUGAACGAAGUCUGUGAAGGUUCGGAAGUCUACCUUGAAGACUUACCAGAGUGAUUGGGCGAGGACUGUGUGUCCUUAGCUCAAGGGGAAUAAGAUGAAGACGCGGUCUUCUGAGUUGAAUCUCAGCCUCCCUAACCAGACGUACAGUUGUCACAGUAACUGGAACUGGUCUAACAAAUCCUGUGUCUUCAACAAGUGACUGGUUCUAUCCUCUCCCUUCCUUUACUUAGUGUUUGUCUUCGUGAAGUCAUUGCCUAUUUGUCGUACCUGUUUGACUUCCUUGCUUGACUACUAUCGUUUGUUGGCUUCAUACUAUCUUCCAUCCUGAUCCUUACUACCAAGCUGCUAUUAGUCUUUGUACUUCCACAUUAUUGCAUACUUGACUAUGGCUGCCUUGUUGUAGUUUAUCUUCCGCUGCAUAUCAAUUAGGUCAUUUCUAUUGUUUGUCUUCAAAACUUCCACAUUUUGAAGACUUUCAUAAAAAUCGCCUAUUCACCCCCCUCUAGUCGAUAACUAGCACUUUCAAUUGGUAUCAGAGCAAGGUACUCCCUUGUUGUGUGCGAUUCGGUUUAACCACCUGGAGUUUAGCUAUGUCGACUGCAGGAUUGAGGAAUGUAUCUUGCCCCACCUUUGAUGGUCAUGAGUAUCCUCGGUGGAAGGCCAUGAUGAAGAAGCACCUCAUGGCUAUGGAUAGCGAACUGUGGACCGUCACUGAGAUUGGUCUUACCGAUCUAUGCAAGAUGGCGGAGGCUGAUGACAUUCGCAAGUACACUCUACUGAACCUCACAGCGAAGGAUGUCAUCUGCUCCUGUCUGUCCCGAAAUCAGUUCAGGAACGUCAUGCACCUCAAUCAUGCGAAGCUAAUCUGGGACCGGCUUUCUGAGGUCUAUGAAGGUCAUCGUACUCGUCAUGAUCCUUGGUUUGAGGACUACAAGGAGUCUCUUAAAGAGAUGACCUUUGCACCUGAAUCGUCUUCAUCUUCACCAUGCCUCAUGGCAACGGGUGCUAAGGUAACUAAAUGCUACCUCUCUGAAACUAGUGAUGAUGAAUCAGGUGAUGAAUUUGGCCCCAGCUAUGUCAAACUUGCUUCCCUUGCCACUAAACAACAAAGAGCCUUGGAAAAGGUUCAAAACAUGUUUGGUAAGAGCAAUGAUAUGUUGGGAGAAGAAAUGGAUCAGUCAAAAGCAUUGGCUGAAAGUCUUCAGAGACUUCAUUCCAAGUUUAACGCCCUUCAAGAUCAACAUAAUGCUCUCUUGUCUGAUCAUGAGAAGCUUUCUUCUGAAUGUCUUCAAAGAAAGCAAGAUCUUGAAAAGAUAAGAGUGGACUAUGAAGAUCUUCAGAAGGAGCGUGAUUCAUUACUUGCUCAACAAAUCAGUUCCGCUCAGGAUGGAUUUGAACCACCAUGUCUAAAAUGCAUUGAGCGUGAUAGCGCUACCUCUGUUGUUGAAUGUUCCACUGCUGCUACUAUUGCAUUGUCUUCAACUACUGAUGUGGUAACUAACCCCUCUGCGGAGGAUACCACUACUAUUGCUGAUGAAAAUGCUAGGUUGAAGACAUUUCUUGAAACAGGGAUGUAUAAAAGUCUGAAAGGACAUCAGAAACUUUGUGAUGUCCUCAAAAAGCAGAUUCUGAACCGAAACCCCAGGAAAGAGGGGGUUGGGUUCGAGAGGAAAGUGAAUGUUGAUGGUUCCUACUGGAAGCCUGAGCAGUAUCCCAAAACCACAUGGGUUGCUGCAAAGGAACCUUCAGUAGAUCCAUCCACCUUAUCUGGCUUCACUUGCGCUAACCCUAUCAUCAUUGAUGAAUCCUUUGAUGCAAACUAUAAACUGUUCAAAAAUUAGAAUGGUGAAGUGUUUGCCAGGUAUAUUGGUACUAACUGCAGGAAUGGACCACCUAUGAAGAAGAUCUGGGUACCUAAGCAGUGUAUUGAGAAUCUUCCUGUGAAUGUCAUCAUGACACCACCAAGGAAGAAGACAAACCCCAGACCUGUGGCUUCAUAUGGCCCAAAGGCUUCAUACAGAUACAAGACUCACCUGAGUCACCCUAACGCCAAUGUUUUGCAGGGAAAUCGUACUCAAGCUGAUGGAUAUGAGCGUGUGUCUUCAAACCACUAUGUUCAUAGAACUAAGAACUUUUCUGCUUAUUCAUAUGAGUAUCAUUCAUCUCCUGCAAGGCUAUUUGCUAGGGCUUCAAGGCCAAAAUUCUCAGAUGCUGCACUUAGACUCAUUGCUUCUAAGCCACCCCUGAAGAUGUGGGUGGUGAAGAAGAAUUAACUUUCUUUUGCAGAAUAAGGUCUCCAGCCUGCAAUCAAAGGCGUCCAAUACUAUUGCUGGGGACCUAAAACACAUUAAAGGACGCAUGAUAAAAUGGUCUUAAUAUGUAUUUCACAUCUGAAUUGCUUACCAGUCAUACUAUGAGUCCUAACCUUGAUCUAUGCUGUGAUAAUCCGUGUGUUCGUCAAAUGCUUAUGCUUCACAACACUCUUUGUGAAGCCUAUCCUCCUAACUGCACUGUAGGGUAUGACACCUCAUGCUUCAGAAUGGAUUAUGAAUAGCGGAUGCACUAAUCAUAUGACUGGUGAUCGAAAUCUUCUCAUGGACUCAACCUUACGUCCAUCAGACAAGAGUCACAUCACAUUUGCUGACACUGGUAAAAGCAAGGUAUUGGGUCUAGGUAGAGUUGCAAUCUCAAAGGAUCAACACAUGGAUAAAGUGAUGCUUGUUGAAUCCCUUGGUUUCAACUUAAUGUUUGUCUCAAUGUUUUGUGACUUGAACAUGAUUGCGCUAUUUGGAAAAUAUUGUUGCCUAGUACUAAUGGAAUCUGACAAGUCUCUAGUCUUUGAAGGGUAUCGGAAAGAUGAUCUAUACAUGGUAGAUUUCUCAGCAGGUCCACAGCUUGCCGUAUGUCUUCUUGCAAAAGCUUCAGAAUGCUGGCUCUAGCAUCGGAGGCUGGGGCAUGCUGGCAUGAGAAACUUACACACACUCGUCAAGAAGAAGCAUGUCACAGGCAUCGAGGGUGUCAAGUUCAAGAAGGAUCAUUUGUGUGGUGCUUGCGAAGCUGGAAAGAUGAUUAGGGCAAAGCACCCCUCGAAGACAAUCAUGACGACAUCUCAACCCUUCGAGCUGUUACACAUGGACUUAUUUGGCCCUACUCACUACUCUACCCUCACAACGACUGCUUGUCUCUAUGGCUUCGUCAUUGUUGAUGACUACUCAAAAUAUACAUGGGUGCACAUUAUUCUCUACAAGACUGAAGUGCAAGAUGUCUUCAGACGCUUCGCCAAUCGAGCCAUGAAUAAUUAUGGCGUCAAGAUCAAGCAUAUCAGAAGUGAUAACGGCACUGAGUUCAAGAACACCGGGCUUGAUCUUUAUAUGGAUACAAUGGGAAUCACUCAUGAGUUUUCUGCUCCAUACACACCUCAACAAAGGAAUGGCAUCUUCAUAUCUCAAGAAAAAUACCUCAAAGAUUGUCUGAAGAAGUUUGGAAUGCAAGAUUGCAAAGGUUACACGACGCCUAUGCCAGCCAAACACCAUCUGGGUCCCGACGACAAUGGUAAAGAGUUCGAUCAAAAGGUAUACCGCUCCAUGAUUGGUUCCUUACUUUACCUAUGUGCAUCUAGGCCAGAUAUUAUGCUUAGUGUUUGCAUGUGUGCUCGAUUCCAAGCGGCACCAAAGGAAUCGCAUCACUUAGCUGUGAAGCGAAUUCUUCGAUAUUUGGCUUACACCCCAACACUCGGAUUAUGGUAUCCAAAGGGCUCAAAAUUUGAUCUGGUUGGAUUCUCGGGUGCUGAUUAUGCUGGUGACAAGGUGGAUCGCAGGUCUACAUCAGGCACAUGUCACUUUCUGGGACGAUCACUUGUCUGUUGGUCUUCAAAGAAGCAGAACUGUGUAUCACUCUCAACUGCUGAAUCUGAAUACAUUGCUGCUGGAUCUUGCUGCGCUCAGCUUCUGUGGAUGAAGCAAACUCUCAAGGACUAUGGCAUCAAUCUGAAACAAGUACCUCUCUUCUACGACAACGAAAGCGCCAUCAAGAUUGCCAACAAUCCAGUCCAGCACUCGAAGACAAAGCACAUUGAAAUUCGUCAUCACUUUCUCAGAGAUCAUGGCAUGAAGAAAGAUAUUGACAUCAUUCACGUCAACACUGAAGAGCAACUGGCAGAUAUCUUCACAAAGCCCUUGGACGAGAAAAGGUUUUGCAAGAUACGGUGUGAGCUAAAUAUCUUGGAAUCCUCAAAUGUCCUAUGAUUAGGCACACAUCCUAACACAUAUGCAUGUUGAUGACUUAGAUGUGCAACACACGAAGUAAAGUACAUCUUCAAUCAAUGAAGACUUACAUUCUGAGUGUGAAUACAUUAACGUGGAAUUUGACAUCGGAGCGCCACGAUAAUUGUGCGCCGUGUCUGGGUCUAAUACUUCCUAUAUGGUGGGUAACGCCACCACCAAAUUUCUCGAUUUGAAGUGUUUCACUCAUGGCGUUAUUCUUGUAAUGUCUUCGCAUUUGGUUUGUCUUAAAUUUCAACUUAUCUUCACAAUUUUCUUCACUAUGUUGAUUUGAUUGCUUUCGGAUAUAUAUACUAGUGAUAUGUCCUCUACAACAUUCACUUAUAGCUAUGUCUUCCUAGUUGAAUCUUUUGAACUAAGUGAAUGUGAUCGGACCCUAAUCUCUCUAUGCUUUCUAUCUCAAACUCUAUCUGUCCAAAUCAUAUGCAUUCUAUUGAAACUGUCGAAUGUCUUCUCUGCAUCCUUGUCAGCAGAAGACACAGAGACAAACAUUAAGUCUGUUUUAAACGAUUCAUCCUAAUUGUUUGACAUCCGGAGAAGCCGGAACAACCAUCCGACAAACCUGGCGGGCGUGGGAACGUGGGACAACUCUGAGUAUGUUGCAUGCUUGCCACGUGCCCCUCAGAUGUGAACCGCCAGGGGCACCUGCGUAAUUGCGCUAUGUCGCACACUUCCUUAUAAAUACAUGCCCCCUACGGUAAAGAAACCUUCUUCCACCUCUCCACCUCGUCAAAACCCUAGCGCCACCGCUAGCUCUCGACGACGCCGGCGACGAAGCGCUUAGCUGCCGUGACUUCUCCGAUGCUGUCCUCACGCCGGCCGCGUAUAUCGUCCUCUCUGUCGCUGCCGUAGGUGUCCUCCGUCACCAAGUUAGGGCACGGUGGAUUGAACUGCUCGGUCUCCUAUUCAUCCCAUCUAGCAGUUCGUCGUGUGGUAAAUACAACUAUAUUUUUACCAUCUUUUUGAUCUUCAAUGAUUCAUCCUAUUUAUCAAAAUUGGUUUCUGCCUAUACAAUGUUAGAUCUAUUCUAUCUGCAUCUCAUACUGCCUAGUAAUAUUCACUUAAGCUUCAUAUCCAGUUAGAUUCCUCACGUGUACUUAUUCACGGAUUCGUACAAAUCUGGAACCAAUUCUCAACAUAUAAGUGAAUGUCUUCGCAUCAUGAGGUCAAUGUCUUCAAACUGAUUUAUCUUCAAAAUCUUCUGAGAAUGCAUAUGACCUCUUCCCCUUCCCUCGCAUUUCUAAUGCUGUCACAGGUACAUGUCCGUGGGAGAAUCCUAGGUUCUCAUAGUCUGCAUUCGUUUGCAGAAUUCUUACAGCAUCUCAUUAACUCUCCCGAAGCCAGUUCCUGUUUGUCCAGCAAGCGAAAGCCUUUGAAGCCUUUGAACGUAUUGAAGCCAUUUAGUUUGAAGUUCAUGGCUGCGGAGAAAUCUGUAAGGAAGGGUGGCAGACAGCGUCGAGGGGGAACAUCAAAAGAUUUGCCUGAUGACCUCGCAGAACUUUAGAAGACAGAUCCUGAAGAGGAUUAUAAUCAGCGCAAGACACGAAUCCAAUGGAUUCGAUGAUAUUGGGCUGAAAAAUGGUUCAAAUACAAGUUCGUGACCCAGGAAUACGCUGAGAAAAAUGCUAUCAAAAGUCCUUGGGGUGAUAUUCUCUAUCGAGGCCUUCCACCCAAGAACAGAGCUGAAGCUAUUGCACAGGGUUUCUAUCCUUAUAUGGUCCGUGGACCUCAGCCUGAAAAUGUCAACCCAUCAUCAUUGCUCUGGUGUCGUGAUGAAAAUCUUUUCAAGCGCAACUUCCAGCACGCAAAGGCAUCGGCCAAGGAAAACAAGAAGUCAAUGGGGUUAGACUUCAACCCUGGUCCCUCUGCUCCUCGUGCUGACGGCUCACGUGAUGCAGAACCCAAUGCCAUCGGCCCCUUUUCCAACCUUGAUGGCCUCAUCACUUACAUCUUGGUCCAAGGUGCCUGUCGGUGUCAAAACCGGCGGAUCUCGGGUAGGGGGUCCCGAACUGUGCGUCUAGGCGGAUGGUAACAGGAGACAAGGGACACGAUGUUUUACCCAGGUUCGGGCCCUCUUGAUGGAGGUAAAACCCUACGUCCUGCUUGAUUAAUAUUGAUGAUGUGUGUUACAAGAGUGGAUCUACCACGAGAUCAAGGAGGCUAAACCCUAGAAGCUAGCCUAUGGUAUGAUUGUUGUUCGUCCUAAGGACUAAAGCCAUCUAGUUUAUAUAGACACCGGAGAGGGCUAGGGUUACACAGAGUCGGUUACAAUGGUAGGAAAUCUAUAUAUCCGUAUCGCCAAGCUUGCCUUCCACGCCAAGGAAAGUCCCAUCCGGACACGGGACGAAGUCUUCAAUCUUCUAUCUUCAUAGUCUUGGAGUCCGGCCGAUGAUGAUAGUUCGGCUAUCCGGACACCCCCUAGUCCGGAACUCCCUCAGUAGCCCCUGAACCAGGCUUCAAUGACGACGAGUCCGGCACGCAUGUUGUCUUCGGCAUUGCAAGGCGGGUUCUUCCUCCGAAUAAUUUAUAGAAGAUUGUGAACACUAGGAUAGUGUCCGGCUCUGCAAAAAUAAAUUCCACGUACCACCAUAGAGAGAAUAAUAUUACACAAGUUCAAUCUGCUGACGUAUUUAGUGGCGUGACGUCAUGCCAUUACCAAGCCUUUACUCAAAUUGUUUUUAUUGUUCCACCUCCGCGCGUUUAGCGAGGCGGUUUCCUUGGCACGUCUUGUCGAAGCAGAGAUCGUGUUCCCCUUAUUCCGGGAUUCCCAUCAAUACGGACGUGGGUAACCCAACCGCGCCAUUGAUUGUGACGCUUGGGAGAUAAGCGAGUUUUACCAGGCCGGUGGGGACACAUGUUUUUGUCCGCCCAUAUAAGGGGAUAAAGAUCCAACCCUUUUACAUGCGCCUUCUUCCUCCUUGGCUUAUCCAUCUCCGCGAACUCGAGCUCCAGCGCCCAAGUCCGCACUUCUCACCUCAACCUUCUCCAACUAUGUCCGGAGCGGGAGGCAAGUGGAUGGCCUCCUCCGUCACGGAGGGGCAGAUCCAGAAGCUGCGCGACGCUGGAUAUUUGUCCAGCGACAUCGCACAUCGGCUCCCCGACGAGGGAGAGCUCAUCCCCACCCCUAGGCCCCAUGAGAGGGUAGCAUUUCUUCCCCAUUUCCUCCGUGGACUGAGCUUCCCACUUCAUCCCUUUGUCCGGGGGCUCAUGUUCUACUAUGGCCUAGAUUUCUAUGAUCUGGCCCCGAAUUUCAUCCUCAACAUCUCGGCGUUUAUCGUCGUGUGCGAGGCCUUCCUCUGCAUCCAGCCCCACUUCGGCUUGUGGCUCAAGACCUUCAGUGUCAAGCCGAAGGUUGUGAAGGGCAGCCAAGCGGAGUGCGGAGGCGCCAUGGUGGGCAGGAUGUCCCACGUUACGUGGCUGGAGGGCACUUUUGUGGAAACCAUUAAGGGGUGGCAAUCGGGGUGGUUCUAUAUCACCGAGCCGCGUGACCCUGAUUGGGCAGCGGCCCCCGAAUUCAGAUCCGGCAUCCCUACACGGCUUACCUCCUGGAAAGAGAGUGGCCGGAUCUGGGGGGAUUCGGAGGAGCUGACCAGACUCCAAGCCUGUAUCCAGAAGCUGGUGGACAAGAAGUUCAAGCUUGUCAACGUAGUCCAGGUCAUGCUCAUUCGCCGGAUUCUCCCGUGCCAGGGACGGGGCUUCAACAUGUGGGAGUUCGAUCCGGUGCAGCACCAGACUCUGAGCGGGCUCUUCGACACUACGUACGAAGAUGUCUGGAAGGUGUUGUUCAAAGGCGCCGAGGCUCCCCCAUCCGCUACCGAAGAUCGCGGAUUCCGCUCGUAGCGUCUAGCUGACGAGGUAAGUGAUUUUGCCACUUGUUUUCCAUAGUUUGACUCUAUGCAGGAUCUAAACUCCCUUUACCUUUGACAGGAAUGGCUGGCGAAGGCCGAACGGACUAUCUGUCCGGCCCCAUUGCCAGAGGACCCAGCGGACGCCCGCCUAACGGGGCUGCUGGCUCCGGCACCCCACGUGGUGCCGGAGAAGAAGGUCAAGAAGAAGGCCACGGGGACUCGGAAGAGUUCCCGUUUUCAGGUGCUAUCGGAUGAUAAAUCCGAGGCCGAAUCCUCCCACCAAGGCGAGGAGGAGAAGAAGAAAGCCUCUCCCCCAGCGGGGGGAGGGAAGAAAAGGAAGGCCUCCCCAACAAGGGAGGCCGAAGGGUCCAAGAAGGGAAAAACUCUUCCCCCGGACUGCUCCGCCAAUGACAGUGACGACGACGAGGACUGGCCUCCAAGGGCCAAGCCCCUGGCGAGAUCGUAAGUAUCCGGACUCCCGAAUAACUUCAAGGUUUUUAUUUUUCGCCACAUAAUGUCUUUCUAAUGCCGCAUACAACCCUGCAGUCCGCCUAAGGAUGAUCUUCCCGCCUCGUCGAGCGGGUCCUUAGGUGCGUCGGAUAUGGAUUCCCUUCCGACGGCCUCCACCCCCCGUGAUGCGGACGAUGCCGAGGUGGGAUCCCAAGAAGGGACCCACCAGGAGGAGAGGGCCCCGGAGGUGUCGCAGGACAACCUCCCGGACUUUGCACCGGACUCGGCCCCGGAACCCACAGUGGCUCCGGAGUCCGGCGGGCGAUCCCUUCGCAAGAAGGGCAAGACCGUGACGCCGGCUGCCUCCGUCCAUCCGGAGGUGCCGGAUAACUUGCUGGAGGCGCUCAACGGCGCCUCCAUCGAAGAGGAACACCGCACUGUUAUGAGUGCGGUGAUUCAGAAGGUGCAGCUCGCCAAGAGCGGGCUGACCGAAGCCUGCAGCAGCCUUCUAACAGGCUUUGAGGUAAGAAUUUCAAAGAUAUACCGCAUAGACAGUAGCCCCUGAUGCUCGGUUCGGUGUUCGAAAAGAAAAGCCGGACUGAGAAUCUACAAAGAUAUACGCAGGAGUUAUAAAAAAUAUGUCAAUAUGGGAUUGCAGGCUGCACUGCUGACCUCUGCCGCACUGACUGCGGAGGUCAAUACUUUGAAGGAAAGCCUCGAGCGGUCCUAGAACGAGCUUGGCCGUGCCAAGAGGCAGCUCGAGGACAAGGAAGGUGAGUAACACCUUAUGAAAAUUGUACCUUACAGAAAAGGAUUUUGGUUGCAAAAAGAAUGACAAGGAUAACACGGGUAUUGCAGGGGCCGCUAACGGGGUGGCGACCCUGAAAGAGGCGGUGGCCACGGCCGAACGAAAUGCGGCCGCAGAGCGCACCGAGCGAGAGAAACAGGAGGCGCGGGUGGCGGAGGUACAGCAAGAGCUCCAGGAUCUCGUGAGAAAACAUGAGAGCCUGGAGCGUGACUCGAAGACUCGAGAGUCUGAGCUUGCAACGGCUCUUGAGAGUGCCAAAGCCGCUAAGGCCGAAGCCUAAAAGGCCCUUCAGGAGAUUGAGGCGGUGAAGAAAAUAGCAGCGGGUAAGGCAUUUUUCAUGCAAAGUAAGCAUGUGAGUGUUAAUUACCUGUUGCUUACCCGAAUUCGGAGCUCUCCAGGAGCGUUCGCAGAUCUUCCUCGCAGCGUGUCCGAUGCUGCCGCAUUCUACCGGGCCGAGGGGAGCUCGACAGAGAAGGUCUUCUGGUCUCAGUAUGCUGAGGCCGGACAUCCGGUGCCCCUUAGCGACCAGCUGAAGCAGCUGGUCGAGCUCCACAAGGCGGCCGAACAGGCCAUGAAGGGCCUCAUAGUUCGGCUGUGGCCUAAGGAGGCCAUGCCUGGGAGCUACUUCGGCUUGGUGCGGCGGCUGGUGGAUGCGUGCCCGUGGGUUGAAGUCAUCAAGCACUCCGCCUGUAUUGAGGGUGCCUUUCGGACCCUUGCCCGCGCGAAGGUGCACUGGGGCAAGAUGGAUGCCCAGAAGCUUGUGACCGACCCGCCACCAGAGGGCAAGGAGCAUCGCACGCCCGAGAUGUAUUAUAAGAGUGUGCUGAAGGGCGCCCGCACUAUUGCAGGGGAGUGCUUCAAAGAUGUAAUUUUUUAGUAGACUCGCAUUUUGUUAUCCUGUGCGCUGAAAACUUAGUUCAUAUGCGCUAAGCAACGCUUGUUAAUUUAAAAUAUUACCUUCUGUGCGGCUGUUUAUCAAAUCUGAGAGAUGUCAAGUCGUCGGCUUCAGCCCCCAUGCCACAAGUGUUGUGGUGUUCGGGAUAAACUUGAGCACUCUUGUUCUCAUUUUUGGGUCCAUCUAGGGAGGUGCUCAACACAGCGAACAAGGCAACCGGACUUAUAAUGCUUGAACACUCUCACUUAGCCAUAGAAUUCUAUAAUUUUAAAUUUCGGCGAAGCCCCUAGUCUUUGGAAGGCCGAAUUUGGGGCGCUAUCCACGCCUGGGCCGGACAAGAUCCAGCUCCUCGCUCUAAGCGGCAUAAGUCUUUAAGGACUCACAAAAACCUCUCGAACAGCGACCGGCUCUCGCCUCAUCAUGACGGUUAGUUUUAGCUUUCUCCACUGAGGCGUUAACCCAACUCAACUGGGGCGCAAUCGCAGUGGUUCUCCCAGUGCUACCUUAGCCGAUAUAACGGAACGUAAGGUACCAAAACAUGGGAGCCGGGCAAACCCAACUAUUGACCCAAGACAUGAUUCGGAGCCGAUGUAUAUAAUGCUAUAAGUUCGGGGUGCCGCACUUGUGAAAGUGUUCGGACUUAUCACACCAUGAUGCAGGAAACAUAAGCCCCUGGUGUGUUUUAACCGUACCAAAAUGUACGGAUGCGACAUGUCGUAAUUUUAACAUGUGUAUGAAAAAGAAAUGCAAUUAUAAGCAAAAAGAUGCUGCACUGUUUUAUUCAAUAAGUGCUGCUAUGAAUGUAGAACGAUACAAAUAGUGCGAUAAGCAAGGGAUGGGACUGUUAAACAUAUCCCCCUCCAAGGGUAGGCUGCGGAUUGAUGUAUAAAAAUGCUCGUAAUGGAGACCACCUGUAUAUUCGUUGUAGCCUGUAUCCUUCCCUGCCUGUUGCAUCGUGAGUUCGGCAGGUCUGCUCCCGGACAGGGCCUCUGACGAACGGAGUCCUGUGGGUAAAAAAUAAAAGGUAAAAAAAAGAACGACACACUUGAGAGCCCCUAGUGUGGUUGAGCCGCAGUCUGGGCUUAUUGUGGUCGUGCCCCUCUCCCCAUGCCCAUGGUAUCUUCAGAGCGUAAUGGUGUACGCGAAGGAACUGUUUGGAUGUUUUGCAGGGGCUGGGGUUGGGGCCGCACUGCUACGCGUGCUCGGAACGUGCCAAGUGGUCUUGUUGUAGGUUACUCCGGGCGCUCUUAGCUAUGUCCGGUCGCUUAACGGCCGGACUCGAGAAUUGCCUUAAGAGGCUGCAUUGUACUUCUGCCGCGAGAGCCGCUGUAUGUUCCUCCGUUUGGAGAGAGCGCUCAGUGUUUCCGUUGACCGUGAUGACUCCUCUAGGGCCUGGCAUCUUGAUCUUGAGGUAUGCGUAGUGCGGCACCGCGUUGAACUUUGCAAACGCGGUACGUCCGAGCAAGGCAUGAUAGCCGCUGUGGAACGGACUAUGUCGAAGAUUAACUCCUCGCUUCGGAAGUUAUCCGGGGAUCCGAAGACCACUUCCAGUGUAACUGAGCCUGUACAAUUGGCUUCUACACCUGGUAUGACGCCUUUAAAGGUCGUCUUGGUAGGUUUAAUCCUUGAGGGGUCUAUGCCCAUUUUGCGCACUGUAUCCUGAUAAAGCAGGUUCAGGCUACUACCGCCGUCCAUUAGGACUCUGGUGAGGUGAAAUCCAUCGACGAUUGGUCUAUGACCAAUGCGGCGAAUUCGCCGUGGCGGAUGCUGGUGGGGUGGUCCCUUCGGUCAAAAGUGAUCGGGCAGGAGGACCAUGGAUUGAACUUCGGGGCGACUGGCUCCAUCGCGUAUACAUCCCUGAGUGCACGCUUCCGCUCCCUUUUGGGUAUGUGCGUUGCGUAUAUCAUGUUCACCGUCCGCACCUGUGGGGGGAAACCCUUCUGUCCUCUAUUGUUCGGCGAUCGGGUCUCUUCCUCGUCAUCGCUAUGCAGCCCCUUGUCAUUGUUUUCGGCAAUUAACUUGCCUGCCUGCUUGAAUACCCAACAGUCCCUAUUGGUGUGGUUAGCUGGCUUUUCGGAGGUGCCGUGUAUCUGGCACAAGCGGUCGAGUAUUCGGUCCAAUUGGACGGACCCGGAGCAGUUCUUUUGAAUGGCUUUUUCCGCUGACCGGGUUUAGAGCCUCUGAAUCCGGCAUUGACUGCCGUAUCCUCACUAUUGUCGCCGUUGAUGCGGCGCUUGUUUUUGUUACGACGCGACCUGCCAUUUCGGUCCUUGAAAUCCGGACUGCCAGAAUGUUUGCUGAGGUUGUUGCUGCGUGCUAGCCAGCUAUCCUCGCCCGUGCAGAAGCGGGUCAUGAGUGAUGUGAGGGCUGCCAUGGAUUUCGGCUUUUCCUGUCCCAGGUGCCGGGCAAGCCACUCGUCGCGGAUGUUAUGCUUGAAGGCCGCGAGGGCCUCCGCAUCCGGACAGUCGACGAUUUGGUUUUUCUUGGUUAAGAACCGUGUCCAGAAUUGUCUGGCCGAUUCGUCUGGCUGCUGAAUUAUGUGGCUUAGGUCAUCAGCGUCUGGUGGUCGCACAUACGUGCCCUGGAAGUUAUCGAGGAAUGCGGCUUCCAGGUCUUCCCAACUCUCAAUUGACUCUGCUGGCAAGCUGUUAAGCCAAUGUCGGGCUGGUCCUUUAAGCUUGAGGGGAAGAUAUUUGAUGGCGUGAAGAUCGUCACCGCGGGCCAUGUGGAUGUGAAGAAGAUAGUCUUCGAUCCAAACCGCGGGGUCUGUUGUGCCAUCGUAAGAUUCGAUAUUAACGGGUUUAAACCCUUCGGGGAUUUGAUGAUCCAUUACUUCAUCUGUGAAGCAUAGUGGGUGUGCGGCGCCUCUGUACUGGGCGAUAUCACGACGGAGCUCAAAAGAGCUUUGUCUGUUUUGUUCGGCCCGGCCGGACUUACUGUGUCCGGUGCUACGGUUGUCGUCACGUACCAUGGGGCGCCCACGCGAUCCAUAGAUCGAUCUUGAUUGUCUUGCCUUAUCCUCCAAUAUAUCUCGCAAGUCCGAAGCGUUCCCCUGUGGCCUUGUGCUUUUCGAGCGAUGCCGGGGUACGGGUCUAGUGAAGGGCCUAGAGGCCUCUCUGUCGUGACCACGGGGUGAUCGGUCAGCCGUAUUGUCUCCUGAUGAUGCGGGCUCAUACGCUUCCUCCUCUAAUCGGGGGAGCAGCUUGCGUUAGGGUAGCUUUUGGAGGGGCGUUCGAGCUCAUACUCUUCAGCCGCGAGGACUUCAGUCCAUCUGUCGGCUAGCAGAUCUUGAUCAGCUCUAAGCUGUUGUUGCUUUUUCUUGAGGAUGUUUGCCGUGGCCAUAAGCCUGCGUUUAAAACGCUCUUGUUCGACGGGAUCCUCAGGCACGACGAAUUCAUCGUCGUCGAGGCUUGCUUCGUCUCCAGAGGGAGGCAUAUAAUCCUCUACCUCUUCUUCUGCCGCUCUCUCAUGAGGGCUGGCGUCUCCAUCCUCCUGUGCUGGGUCUUGCUGGAGUGGGUUAUCUUCGGCGCUAUCCGGUGUAUUAUUAUCUCCGGUGCCGGAAUCUUCAUUCUUGCUGUGGCGGGAUUUAGAGCGGCGCCACUGACGCCGGUGCUUGGGCUGUUUCUUGGAGGGGUCAUCCUCCUCUGUUCCUUCGCCAUUCCCAUCCUUUGGGAUAUCCACCAUGUAUAUGUCAUAUGAUGAGGUGGCUUUCCAGUGCCCGGUCGGCGCUGGUUGUUGGUCGUCUCCGGCAUCGUCGUCCAUACCGUCGAUGUCUUCGGAGUCGUAAUCUAGCAUGUCGGUUAGAUCGUCGAUAGUGGCUACCAAGUGGGUGGUGGGUGGGCUUUGAAUUUCUUCGUCGUCUGCAUCCCAACCGUCCUGACCGCAGUCCGGCCAGGGCUCUCUUGAUAACGAGAGAUGUUUUAGCGAACUCAAGAUGUCGCCAAAAGGUGAGAGUAGAAAGAUGUCCGCUGCGGUGAACUCCAUGACCGGCGCCCAAUCGGAUUCGAUCGGAGGGGCGCGGGAGGUUCGAAGUCCGGCAAGGAGUCCGGCACCUCGGAGUCACGAGCUUUAUGAGGGACAAGAUCAGUGUUCGGCUCUAUCGCCGUAGAGGUUGCAGCUCCCGAGGCGAUGUCUAGCCAUCCGUCCUCGAUCUGCGCAGCCGGCUCCGAAUUGAAGAUCGAAGCGGGUUCGAGUGCGGCCUCCAGGGUACUGUCCAGCUGCAGAGCUAAAUCAUGCUCGCUGUGACAGUGCGGCACGCUCGGCUGUGGCUCGACUCCAUCGAGGAUCAAGUCCCCGCGGAUGUCAGCCGUGAAGUUCAAACUUCCAAAUCUGACCUGAUGGCCAGGGGCGUAGCUUUCGAUCUGCUCCAGAUGGCCAAACGAAUUGGCCCGCAGUGCAAAGCCGCCGAAUACGAAGAUCUGUCCGGGGAGAAAGGUCUCACCCUGGACUACGUUGUUGAUGAUGGUCGAAGAAGCCAUCGAGCCUAUCGGUGACGACACAGAGGAACUUUCAAUGAAAGCACCAAUGUCGGUGUCAAAACCGGCGGAUCUCGGGUAGGGGGUCCCGAACUGUGCGUCUAGGCGGAUGGUAACAGGAGACAAGGGACACGAUGUUUUACCCAGGUUCGGGCCCUCUUGAUGGAGGUAAAAUCCUACGUCCUGCUUGAUUAAUAUUGAUGAUGUGUGUUACAAGAGUGGAUCUACCACGAGAUCAAGGAGGCUAAACCCUAAAAGCUAGCCUAUGGUAUAAUUGUUGUUCGUCCUAAGGACUAAAGCCAUCCGGUUUAUAUGGACACCGGAGAGGGCUAGGGUUACACAGAGUCGGUUACAAUGGUAGGAAAUCUACAUAUCCGUAUCGCCAAGCUUGCCUUCCACGCCAAGGAAAGUCCCAUCCGGACACGGGACAAAGUCUUCAAUCUUCUAUCUUCAUAGUCUUGGAGUUCGGCCGAUGAUGAUAGUUCGGCUAUCCAGACACCCCCUAGUCCAGAACUCCCUCAGUGCCAAAGUGGAUCAUUCUGAUAAUGAUGCUGACAUUGAUGAAGCCCCAGCUCCUCCUCCAAAGCCGCAAAAGCUAAAGAAGACUAAGGCUUCACGAUCAGCUGCUCCUCCAAAAGCUUCACGUGUGAAGCCACUGGCCACUACACCUCCUGAAGACAGUGUGCAGUCUGAAGAUCUAUCACGUAUCUCCAAGAAGACGGAGAAGAAAAAGAAAAUCGUCAAGAAUAUUGAUCAGACAUUGACUCCUGUUGCCAUUCUGCGAGAAGAGCACAUUGAUCUGUCCAGCGAUGAAGAUCUUGUAGAUGAUGCUCUUGAGCAACUGAUCAAAAGCAAGGAAGAAGCAGAGAUCUUCAAUGAUUUGCCUCUCUUUGAUGUGGCAAUCAUCCAUAACUUCAUUGAUGAGUGGUUUGACAUCUCAAAUCUCAGCUUUGAUGAUCUACAACUUCCCAUUGGCCUCAGCGUCUCCUUCAAUGGCGCCAUUGCUUCUGAGCUAGCUCUUGCUCAGCGCAUCGUUGAACUGAAGCACAAGAUCGACUAUGAGAAAGCUUAGUUCAAGAAGCAUGUGGCCAAGUUCAGCGUGCAAGAUGUCAAAAACUUCAAAAUCAUGUUGCACGAGCUCAAAGAAGCCUUUCACUCGAAGCGCGAAGAAGCUAGAGGCUCUCGGGAGCGCAUGAAAAGUCUGGCUGACAAGUGUGUGCUAGCCUACAAUGAAGCUGAGAAGCGCAAGGCUCUUGGUCGUCCUGGCAUUGACCCCAGAAUGGCUGCAAAGAAGAAGAAGCUAUUAACUGACCAAUCUGCACCUUCAAGGCAGGAAGAACCUCGCAUAGUCUUCCCAAGCAGCAUGACUGGCUCGAAGCCAAAGGUCAAGUCAACCGCUUCUGAACUGAAGAAGACGAGGGCUGCCGAGGCUGAAGCCAGAAAAAAGAAAAAUACAGAAGCCUCUGAUGUUGCUCCCUCCAAGAAGAAUCGGACUGCUCCCACAGAGCCCUUAGUUGUUGAACCUAUCUCAAUGGUUCGCCCUGCAUCUGAACACCAAGAACAACGGAUGAUAGUUCAUGAGCCUGCUUCCACAGAGGCUUAUGAAGCUGAAGACAUUCCAGCAGUUGAUCCCACCGCUGCUGAAGACAUUGGUCACCAUGACAAUGUUGAAGAUGAUGAAGUUCUUCCUCAGAUUGAACACAACGUGGUAUCAUCGCCUGUUCUCACGAACAAAGAACUCAUCAGCAUUGGCCGUCCUCUGGCGCCAAUUGCUCAGGUUGCAUCAUGGGCUGAUCGCCCACAACAGCAAGACUCCCCAAGUACUCCCCAACAACAACAAGUCACACCACAUGUGCAAGAAGAAGAGGAUGAGGCCCAGCCUACUUCAUCUCCAAAAGCGUCGCAAGCAUUACGCAGGCUUCGCAAAGGACCAAGGCCUCAAGUCCCUCUUUCGAGCGUUCCAGAAGGAGAAAUGCACCACCAAUCUGUUGCACGUCAAGUGUUUCCAGAAGCCACUCCGACUGAGAAUGUCUCCGUGUCUGAUGCCCAAGCUGUUGAAGACAAUCCGGCUGCAUCAGCCGAUGACGAACAAGAAGUAGAAUGUGUCCAUACUCCCCCCAUUACUGAAGAAGUUGUUCCUGAAGUGAACGUGCCAGUACCCGACCCUCCAGCUCAUCAAGUGGAGGUUGAAAAUCUUGAGGCUGCCACCACCAACGUAAAUGAAGCUAAUGACGUAGUCAUGGCCGAAGCCAGUGUGGAGCCUGCACCAACCAAUAUGCCAGAAACCAAUGAUGCAACGGCUCCUGAAGCUUCUGUUGUGCAGCCUGAAGACUCUGUUGUUGCCACUGCUCCUGUUCCGCCACCUAGGCCUCAUACAAUUGAGCAAGCAUACAACUAUGGCCAGGUUAUCACUGUCAAAUGGCCCGUUGUGGUCCCUCCGCCUACUGCCUUUGGUCCUCAGUUUGAUUAUCAUAUUGAGCAUAGGCCUCAGGUCCAGAAACCAAAGCCAAGACUGCCAAGGUUCCCAGGUACUGCCACCUUUAUUGGGUCCUUCAAUGCAAAUGGCUUCAAAAGCCACAACACCUUAUUUGACAGCGCAAAGAACUCCUACUCAAGGCCAAGAAUAUCAUCUGAUCGUUUCUGGAGUUAUCAGCAAUGAAGCUAUUACUCCUGCGUUCUGUAUGACCAAGGGCGCAUUUUCCCUCAUAUGCGCCUCAACACUAAAGCCAUUGCUGGACUGCCAUGCUUAGAAGAAGCACUUGACUGCUUUCGUGAUGCUGGUUUGCUCAGCUUUGUGACAAACAAAGAACAUUGGAAUGAGGAACUUUUGCUUCAAUUCUAUGCUACCCUCCACAUUCGCGGCUACAACAGGGAUACAAAGACAUGGGUUCUCGAGUGGAUGACAGGAAAUGUUCAUCAUGAAGCCAAAGCUCUUGACAUUAUUGAGCUUACAGGCCUACCCACUCCCGGAGAACUGUUUGAACCUGAUUGUCAACUCCACCGCAAUGCACUGGAGAGCAUCUUCCAUAAGCCAGAGCCCAACAUGAGCUAGAUGUUGAGUAUGAUGAAGCCUCUGCCACCUGACACUGAAUACCCAAAGGAGUUCUUUGUUGAUAACCUUGAGUAUCUGCCUCGCACAAUAUAUCACAUCAUCAGACGGACUCUAUGGCCUAUCAAAGGACACUCAUCAGCUGCAAAACUUGAAGGAGCCAUGAAGACAUUGGUCUUUUACAUCCUCAAUGGCAUCAGCUUCAAUACACAAGAAUUCUUCAUCCGGCAACUGGCUGCGUCUGGAUCUGACCUUUUUGGCCUGAAAUUCUAUGCUCCAUGGGUCAUGCGCCUCAUCAAGCUACACUCUGCUAUCAACUAUCAGCCCUCUGCUCGCAAUCAUCUGAUCUUUCUACCAGAGGUUGAUAUGUCAAUUGAAGCCAUAUACCCUGAGCCUGCCAAGAAGCUUCUUUGUCUUCAAAAUGUUGAACACCAAAGCUUCACUCGGCCCAUGGAAGGAGUCCAUGCAGUAACUCGUGUCUAUCCAAUGGCUGGAAACACUCAUCUGCCUCAUUGUGCGCAAACUGAAGCUACUGAGAGCACAAUUGCCCAAAGGCCUAAGAAGCGCUCUCGCGUCCUAAAUGACCGAGAACUUCUUGUGGCACUUCAUCAGAAACAAGACAAGCAUCACUUUUGGCUCAAGCGACAGAUGCAAAGCCUAUUGGUGGACGUCAAUCGCAUUCGAAAUCUUGCCACCAAGAAUGCUUUUGUCACUCACGAGACUUGUCGACGAUCAUGGAAGAGUUUGACGCUGCUUAGUGCUGAAGAAGAUCUUCAAGACAAUGGCUUCACUGAAAGAUUCAAGUUUGACUCCACUCCUCCACGGAAUGUUGUCCUACGUCGAACUCCAUCCCUUGAAGACUCUGACUAUUCUUCCUCCGCGGCAACUGUGAAUGCCAAAGUGAUCGAUGAUGAAGACAAUGCUACUUCACCGCCCCCUACUUCUGCACGCAUCAACACUGCACCAAGUUCGUCUGCGCCGCCAAACAACAACGACAACCCUGCUGCUUCACCUAUUCCUCAUGAGAACGAGUAGAUGCUCUAUGUCUUCAAACCUUUUUGGUCAUUACUGACAAAAGGGGGAGAAGCAUAUGAGUUUGAUAGUCUUCAAGCGGGUUCAAAUGGGCGGUUGCUUUAUAUUUUGCCUAGUGAUUACAACUCUUGCUUUUGAUACAUUUCGUUCUUUGAGUUGUAACACUUAAACUCGAUGGUCGUCUGCUACUUACUUGCUUUUCCAUGUGCGAUGAUAACUUCCGCAUUUAGAUCAUUCUACAGACGUCCAUUUUUCAUUAUGCAUGUCACUCUCUUAGUUAUAUCAUUUCAUGCAUGAUGAAUUAUCUUCAUAAGUUGAAGAGGAUCUCCACAAGUACAACCUGCCAUGUGCAUUUGCAUUCCAAAAGCAAAUUACUUAUAUGCACAUCUUCAGGGGGAGCCUUUGCCACUUAUGAAGACAAUACCCUAUUCUUUACAAUUUCACAUACUUUAUUCCCGUUGAAAACUUCAACCAGUUUUUCAUCAAUCACCAAAAAGGGGGAGAUUGUAAGUGCAUCUAGUGCCACCCCCAGUUGGUUUUGGAGUAUUGACGACAAAGUUGGUUGAGGGACUAAUGCGUUUGUGAGAAUUGCAGGAUAACGCAGGUAGUGUCCCUCAUUGAUUCGGUUUACCUAUCGGAGAUGACCCCUAAAAAUGUAUGAAGACAUUGACGACAAUGGUGGUAAGUGAAGAUAUUCAUAUUGAAGACUAUGACAUGAGAAGACAUUGUAUGAAGACUAUGGAGCACGAAGACUGUGUUAUUUCGUUGUUUCCUUUUCUUCUUUGUUGAGUCAUAGGAACCACCAUACUGUUAAGUGGGGUCCAAGUGAACAAAGUCAAAAUGACUGAAGUGAUGCUCAACCCAAAUCUUAUGUCUUCGAGCGAAGACAAUGAGAGCAAAUCUUAUCCAGAACUGGAUGAGUCAGCUUUGCUUGUAGCCCAAGUAAAGUUGUCGUGUGUGUUUGAAAUCUGAUCGUUGGAACACGUGUCAGUUCCUUAGUGACCCAGGGUCAUUUCGGACAUAUCAGGUCUGGUUGCCUUGUGGCUAUAAAUAGCCCACCCCCUACACCAUAAAUUGGUGGCUGCUCAGAGUUAGUUCACGGCUUUUGUCGUUUGAGAGCAACCCACCUCAAAGCCUUUGAGAGAGAAAUCCUUGCGAGGACAAAGCUCAAACACCCAGAGCCAAAGAGUGUUAGGCAUCACUGAAGUAUUUUUGUCUGUGUGACCUGAAGACUUAUUAUACUUGAGGACUGUGUAUCCUCCAGCCGGUUAGGCGUCGCAUUCUGAGCAUCUAAGAGUUAUUGUGGAUCGCCGGUGAACGAAGUCUGUGAAGGUUCGGAAGUCUACCUUGAAGACUUACCAGAGUGAUUGGGCGAGGACUGUGUGUCCUUAGCUCAAGGGGAAUAAGGUGAAGACGCGGUCUUCUGAGUUGAAUCUCAGCCUCCCUAACCAGACGUACAGUUGUCACAGCAACUGGAACUGGUCCAACAAAUAUUGUGUCUUCAACAAGUGACUGGUUCUAUCCUCUCCCUUCCUUUACUUAGUGUUUGUCUUCGUGAAGUCAUUGCCUAUUUGUCGUACCUGUUUAACUUCAUUGCUUGACUACUAUCAUUUGUUGGCUUCAUAUUAUCUUCCAUCCUGAUCCUUACUACCAAGCUGCUAUUAGUCUUUGUACUUUCACAUUAUUGCAUACUUGAUUAUGGCUGGCUUGUUGUAGUUUAUCUUCCGCUGCAUAUUAAUUAGGUCAUUUCUAUUGUUUGUCUUCGAAACUUCCACGUUUUGAAGACUUUCAUAAAAAUUGCCUAUUCACUCCCCCUCUAGUCGAUAACUAGCACUUUAACCAAGUAUAUUAUCCCGCUAAAGAAAGCACCAAGUAUAUAUUAUGUCCACCUAAUUAAACAUUGUCUUAUUUGUCCUACAAAAUGCAGAACAAAACUUUUGAGUCAAAUUUGUAAGCAAGAUCAGUUUCAUCAAGUCCUGUCGUAUUUUUCAAGUUAGGAAGUUAAAUAAUGAGCAACUAUUUUGGAGGAAAUAAUAAUGAUCAACAGGUAUUUUGCUGCUGCAGAUGUCCAUUAUUUUAGGAGGUGUGGUUUCUUUAUGCAAGGAAAGAUGUUAUGGUGCUCCGAAGCCAGUCAUUUGUCCACCCUAGAUAUUACUACAAACAAAGGCCGUGCACAAUAGUUUCAAGGAUCACAUUUCAUCAAAAUAUGCAAAUAUGUUAAUCAUGAACAUUUGCAAGCAUUCUCAUAAUGACUAUUUUUACAAACCCACAUGCUACAAGGUUCCACUUUCAUAUGCAAGAACUAUUACUCCCUCACUAUCUUGACUCGUAUGUCUGAUCAUAUCUUCCGUAAUAGCCAUGCCCGCAAGAACCAUCAAGCAUUAAUAAUUAAGAAAAUAACAGUCUCACAACAAGAUGCAUAAAAGGAUUAUAAACUAUUUGGAUAGCGAAGGCUACUCAAACACACCUCAACUUACCGAUGUAUUCUGCAGGAUAGUAAAUGAUGCCUACAACAAACAGAACAUUGUGAUUAAUAGUGGUGGUAAAAACAAUUGCCGAAACAUCCCUAACUAAUUAAGAAACUAUGAUUAUAUACUGGUUCUUCAGGCCUGAGAAAUUAGUCAUAAUUCUUGGCUAGAGAAUAAAUAUGAUUAUAACAAAAAAAAUGUGUAGAUUUCUCAUGUGGUGCGGAGUGGACUGUUCAGCAAAAAAUAACAGACAAGCUCAGAUCAUUUGAGGUGUUCAAUGGAAAUUAUGAAAAACGUAUUGGUAGGAAGCAUGAGUUACAUGAAGCCCACAUAUCUUGAUGCUUGUGGCGAUAGCUACUUUUUUCUCCUUGGCCAUUUGUUCCGCCGAGCCCCUCCUCUUUAAUACAUGCAGAUUGUUUAUCUUCAGAAUAUUCAUCAUGAAAAUGUCAAGUUUUGAUAAUUGAUGAUCAAAAGGAGCAAACCCACUGACCAUCCUCUGUCUGGCUCCUUGUCCCAAUCCAUUUUCUAUGCUUCCAACUUUCUGCAGCAAACCAAAAAUGUAAUCCAAUAUAAAAACUCAAGAAUAUAACAGUUAUAUUGAACUUUGCACAACAAACAUGGGGAAAAUCCACUUCUGGUUAGUGUAACUCAUAUUCAGAUGUACUGUAAGACAUGGGAAAAGUGACUAAUAAAGCUUAGAAUCAGAGUUACAUUGAACUUACAGUGAAUUUGGUACAACUACUAACACAAACUAAGCUGAAAAUCAAAGUAGAAAAGCAAGUCCUGACUACUGUAACUUCAGAGUGCUGCAAGUGUAAAAAAUCAACAAGAAAAUUAUAAUGAGAUCAUAAUAACAAACCUGUAGUUUAUGUGCUUGAGGAAUUUACAAGUUUUCGUCCUUUGGAUCAAUUCUUGUGAAGGACUGCAGGUGACUAAUAUAUCAUCCAGAUUUUUGGUAUCCUAUGACACUUCAGAAGCAAAAAAGUUACAACCGUUUAGAAAGUACAGUGAACCCAAGAAGUCAUUCUUGUUGCAUCUGAGGAACAACAUGCGGUUCACAGUGAUGGCAGCGACCGAGCCAUGUUCAUAGAGCCAACGGCAACCAGCCGACCAUAUCGGGUGGCGCCACCUCAUCAUCAUCUUCGCUGAUGUACCACCAUAGGUCCACAACAACAGGGGCAUGGCGCCGUUUGGCCCGGCAGAAGCACGCCGAGCUCGUCCCAGUCGGGCGCAUGUGUGGACACUUCGCACCCGAGCGCGUGGGUGUAUGCGUAGAUGACGGCGCGCAAGGCGUCGAGGAGGUCUGGAUCAAAGAGGAUCCACGAUCUGAGGCCUCUUAUCCUCCCUCCCAAUCAAUGUCCACCUCUCUAACGAUUGUGAACGGCUCGGAAAGGAAAGAGAAUGGUAGAGAGGAAACAUCGUCUCGAUGUAAAGUUCCUCCUUGUCCCAUGUUGUUCGUCAUCCCUGUUGAAGAAGAAACAUCAUCUCGAUGUAAAAUCAUGGUGAUUGACUCAAGGGAACAGAGAGGAAAGACACCUCCUUCAAGCGAAUUCAACAAUUGAUGUGCCGCAGCGAGCGGUGGUUUAUGAUCCCCCUCGCCAAAUUCUCAUCAAUCCGCAAACAAAUUAGGACACCCAAAAGUUUGCCUCGUUACUAAAUUUGCAGCACGAGAAUCCUGACGAGACAAGAAAACCUCAACCGAGCGUCCCAUGCUCGUAGUCCUACACGAGGCAACGGUGCGAUGCGAGGGGGCGGCGGUGCAGAGACGACCAUGACCGGUUGCAGUCGAGGUAGAGGCCUCCCUGAUCGUGGCCGCUCACUGGCCUGCGGUGGAUGCCGAAGAGGAGCACCGUGGAGGGUAGGAGCGGUUGCAGCCGACGGGGUGAGGAGGGUGAGGCGAACCAACGACGGCGACGCAGGGAGAAGCACCACCACGACAGUGAAUGAGGUGGUCGUGGCCCCGCCGGCGAUCUGCGGGACGAGAUCGACACACACCUCGGGCUGCUCUGCUCCGACGACGUGGAGGCUCUACGGCGGCUCCCCCGGCCGGAUCUGGCCACAGGAAACAGAUCGAGGGGGCGGCGGCGGAGCAGUAGGGGCGGCGGCGGAGCGGGAGAGAGGUCGCAUCUGGAUCGAGAGGAGGGGGCGUCGUACCAGUUUUUCUCUGGAUCGAGAGGAGGGGGUGUCGUACGGGUUUUUCCUUAGCGGGAGGGGGGGAGAGGUGACGAAAAAAAAUCAGAGGUGGAAGGAUGACGAAAAAAAACCAGCGAAAAUAAAUCGCGCAGACUAUUCAUCAAGUCGUUCAUUAGGAGUAGAUUUGGGGUUGAUUUAGGCAUCUUCCGUCUGGUUUUGUAAAGGGCCCCUUGUGUCUUUUUUUCUGUGUUUCUCUUCAUCUAUUCCAUUUCUUCUUUCUUUGUUUUUUAUUUUUUAUUUACAUUUCUCUUUUUUAAUUUUCAAAUACAUGCCAAAUUUUAAUACACCCUGAACAAUUUUUGUAUACAGGUUUUAGAUUUCUAUAAACAUGUUGAUCAUUUUUUGUAUACACAUCCAGCGUUUUUAUACACAGGUUGAACAUUUUUCUUAAUGGUGGGGCCAUCUUUUAUAUGUUAUAAUGUUUAUAUAAAAAAAUUAUGUGACCAUAAUUUUAAAUACCCAAACAUUUUUUUCAAUGUCACAUUUUGUUUGAAUGGUAUGAACAUUUUUUUACAAAUUACGUGAACAAAUAUUUAAAUUUUCACAGACACUUUCAAGAAAUGUCAUGAAACAUAUUUUCAAAUGUGUACACAUUUAAAUGAUGCGAGUUUUUUAAUUUGCAAAAACAAAUUUUAUAUUUCAUGAACAGUUUUUAAUGUGUGGUGGAAUUUAAAAAAAAAGUAAAGUAAUUUUUACGAACAUGCGGACAUUUUUUAAAAUGACAUAUCUUUUAUUGUUGUUACUUGUUUUUGACAAAUUACGCGAACAAGUUUGUAAAUAUUUAUGAACAUUUCUAGAAAUAUAAUGAAACAUAUUUGCAAACAUGUGAACAUUUCCAAAUUAUAUAAAUGUUUUUUAAAGUCUUCGCAAACAAAUUCUAUAUUUCUUCAGCAUUUUUUAUUGUGUGGUGGAAGUUUCUUGAGAAUCAAGUAAAGUAUUUUUGUGAUGUAACAAACAAAUGGACGCAACGACGAACUAACACUGGGCCACGCACUACAUACCCUCGUUUGAAGUCAUGUAAUAUUUUUGGUUUUGUCUAAAAAAAUGAAAUAUUUUUGGUAAACAUGGUACAAUGUACGGUGUGAUCUUGCUGGAUCUGAGAACGUAUUUGAAAUAUCUUAUCGCGCCAAGUAUAGCCGGUGAUGAUGUUGGAUUAGGACAUCUAUUUAGUGGCAGUCUAUCGUUUUUCUCCUCUAACCCUAUACGGCUAGGGCAAGUUCUUCCCUCCAGAGUUCAUUGGUGAACCUGUGCAUUUGUCUCCCCUCUACGCAACGUUCUGGCGGCUGGUGACGGGGAGGGAUGCCUCUGCUUCUGUUACUACUUUAGGUUAGGGUUUUUAGUCCGACGUUCGGGUGGAUAGCGGCAUUUUUUCUUCGAGUUUGUCUUCUGGCUUCGAUCCUCCUCGAGUUCGGCUAUCUAGACAUAGUCGGCGGAGCUGUAGCGUAGCUUUACGUCAUCUUCUUAGGGCGGUGCCGAUGGAGUUAUGGUUUCUCUUCAUGUAACGAGAUUUGUUGUCAAGUGCUUCAGAUCUAUGCAAGGGUACAACGUCAAUGACUGCGGACUCCAGGGUGUUAGUCCUUAAUUAGUGCACGUGCACGAAGACUUCUCAGAUGCCAUUGAUAAGGUUGAGACGGCUUCAGUAAAGAAGCGGUGUGUCAGCGGCUUGUUCUGGUGACAGUAGUGGUACAUUUACUAUGUUUGUUGGUGAUACUAAGAGUAGAAUGCACACAUGACCAUUGAAGUUGUAAAUCAGUCCUUCAACUCAGAAACCGUGCAUUAGCCAUCCUCAAACAUUAUAAUNNNNNNNNNNNNNNNNNNNNNNNNNNNNNNNNNNNNNNNNNNNNNNNNNNNNNNNNNNNNNNNNNNNNNNNNNNNNNNNNNNNNNNNNNNNNNNNNNNNNNNNNNNNNNNNNNNNNNNNNNNNNNNNNNNNNNNNNNNNNNNNNNNNNNNNNNNNNNNNNNNNNNNNNNNNNNNNNNNNNNNNNNNNNNNNNNNNNNNNNNNNNNNNNNNNNNNNNNNNNNNNNNNNNNNNNNNNNNNNNNNNNNNNNNNNNNNNNNNNNNNNNNNNNNNNNNNNNNNNNNNNNNNNNNNNNNNNNNNNNNNNNNNNNNNNNNNNNNNNNNNNNNNNNNNUCUACUAAUAAGUCAUGUUGAGUUUCUCUAAAAAAAUUCCGUCCGUCCCCUACGUGGGUGAGGGGCAUGCUCCGCAUCUUUUUUCCCAUCAAUUGGAGGGUUCGUUGGCCAAUUAAAUAGGACCACCUCAACUUUUUACACCUAAUUCCACCAAUUUAUAUAUGUUUUUAAUUUGUUUGAAAAAUCAGCAAGCCUCCGCAGAAUCCAAGAAACAAAGAGAAUGAAGAGAAAGACUUGAUAAAGAAGGGAAUGAACACGGCCGGGGCGGCAAAAUCCGGAGCCAUGUGCGAAACUAAAAAAUAAGGCCCUAUCUCAUUAAACAAAUAGCAAGCAGUUAUAAUGCAAUGGCAGAAAACGGAUUUUUCUUGAGGUAAGGCGGGCUCUAAGCACAUAACAAAUUUGAUGCACAAUGUAGGUAGUCCACACAAUUAACAAUGCGCACCAAUACUUUCAUGUGAGAAGGAUACUAAUAAAAUGUAAUGAAAAAUACUCCCUCCGCCCCAUAGUAUAUGCCGUUUUUUGACAUUAAUGUAGUGUUAAAAAAUUGUUUACAUUAUGAGACGGAGGGAGUAGAACACAUUUAAAUAGAAAAUACCCACACAAAUCUCCGUGUAAAAACAAUGACAUAGUACUUAGAUUAGCAAUAUUCAUGGCACAUCUAGAUGUGCUUUAGCAAAACUGUUUAAAUAAAAACAAAAAAUAAACGUACAGAUAAUGAAUCUAAUGGCAUGAUAUGGCCAAGAGUAAUGCUAAUGUUUUCAUUGACCAUGGAGUGUUGCCACAAGUCAGUCGUUUAGAGGCCAGAGAUACGUGCAUGACAAGUUCCAUGAAGCUUAAAAACAAGGAUGAUGUGGAGCUAAUUAAUGUUACAUGCAGACAUGCUGAUGCAUUACACACUAUCGUACAUAGGCCAAGAAAAUGAAUACUAUGUACUAGUAGUAGAGGCUCACGGGCAGAUGCUAAAUAUUUUACGGAAAUGUUAACGCCCAUAUGUGUGGGCGUUGACCAUCUCGACCACACGCAUUCAUCACGGUCCAUUACUAUAUACACGAAUCUUGGCACAAUCUGGCCGAUUUUCUGUGCCACGUAGGACAAGGCGCGUGUGUGGUGUGUGAGAGAGGUCGCCCACACAUCCGUUUUACCACACGGAGAGGUCGGUGUGUGGGUGUUUAGCAGUUCGCCCACACACCAGUUUUCAAUCACGCACAAGGGCUGGUGUGUGUGGGUUUGCCAUCUCGCCCACACAUCCGCCUCCUUUCCCACACCCAAGCUGCCAGUUGCCAUGCGUUUUGCAUUGUACAUGGCAACUGUCCUAGUGUGAUUGCAAGCAGAUGGCAACUCUCUCUUUUUUUUACCCGAACAUGUCAGUUGCCAUAUAUUUUGCAUGGUACAUGGCAAACUGCCCUAGCGUGCACGUAAGCAGAUGGCAACUCUUUCUUUUUUACAUGGCAACUGCCCUAACGUGCUUGUGAGCACAUGGCAACUCUCUUUUACCCGAACAUGUUUUUUUGUCAUGCCAUUUUUGUAGCGCUACAUGGCAACUGCCUAGUGUUAGUAGGUGGCAACUCCUAAAGUUUUGAAAUCAUGGCAACUGCAGUAGACUAGACCACACAUGGCAACAGUUGUAGUUGUCCAAAAAAUGGCAAUCUGGAACUUUGACCUGAGAUGGCAACUGCAGUUGAGCAGACAUGGCAACUGUAGUUGUCCGACAUGGCAACCGUAGUUCAGCGACAUGGCAACUGCACUUAAACGAACAUAGAUGAGGGUCCGGCCCAUGGCAACUGCGUGCGCGUGGUAAGUGUCACGUGGGACGUGCGGGACCACGAGGUACGAGGCCUGACGUAUCGGGCGUGUGGGCGUUAUUUAUUUCGCCCACACGCACGCGUAUAAAAGGGACCGGGAGGAAAAAAAGACGUGUGGACGCUAAUUAUUUUGCCCACACACAAACGUGUGGGUUGAUCCUUUUAAGAACCACACAGAACGUGUGGGCAGAUCCCUUAACGCUCACACGUGUGGCAGUUAUCGGCGUCCAUAUUUUAAAACUUGACGUGCAUGCAACCAUGCAAGAAAUAAAAGAAGGAGUUAAAGCGAGGAUUAAGGAAGAAUUCAUGUUUCUAUUCCUACCAUGCAAGGAAUAUCAGGCAACUUCUAAGACGUGCAACGUGUGGAGUCUUCAAUGUUUGAAGGAAGCCGGAUGGGGUCCACCAGAACAAGUUACAUGCAUCAAGAAGUUUGUCAUGCGGGACAGAUUAUGCUUAAUGGAGUCAGGAUGGGGUCCACCUGCACUGAGACACAUCCAUGUUCGAUGAUGUUUGUUGUUGAGAUGUAAAAGGCAACUAAUAAUUAAAUAUAAUAGAGUCCAGGAUAGAUUAAAGUGUGAGUUUUCCUUUGAGUUGUGCGUAGCAUGUAUAGAUAGAAUAUUUCUUUACGUAAGGGUCAAGUCAGUGUCGGAGUAAUGGGCGACGGGUACCCCGAAGGCGGCAAGACGAUAUUUCAAGACAUCGGGGCUAGCAAAGCCCCUCAGUUCGACUGCCCGGCCGCUCCUGCCGGCUCCCCGUCCGACUGUCCUGCCCGGCCGGCUGCCGGCUGCCGACUGCGCCAACCAGCCGGCUGCCGACUGCAGCCCGACCCGACAUCGACGAGACACCGAUGAGACGGAUGUACCCGAGCACUGUUCACGUGUCAUCCCAGCCAUCAUGUACAGUGACACUUGUCCCUGGGCACUAUUUAUGAAGUGACCCAGGGGACAAGUGUGACACCCCACCAUGCCUACAUGGCUUACAUCCUAAGCUAGCUCCACUAUAUAUAGUUAGCCAUCCAUCCAUCCACACACUCACGUGUGCACACAUGCUCACGGCCACAAGGGCUCCCUAGACACACACUCACGCAUGCGUAGCUAGCAAACUAGCUAGCACACACACACACACAUCCAUUCAUCCAUCCACCCACAGUUAAGCACAUACUUGUGCUCAUAUACAUAUACGAGGCCAGAUGUCAGAUGCCUAUGGCACUGACUUCAGAUACAGCUUCAGGAGCACUCUGUACCAGAUAUACCAGAUAUACUCAGACAUACAGGAGUAGGGGUGUUAUCUCUUCGGAGAGCCUCGAACAUGGGUAAACUAGCGCGUGCUACUCGCAUACCCGUCCCUGGAUAUUCCGGCAGCAGUCUUACCCUCACACGAAGCCACCUUGUGGCAUNNNNNNNNNNNNNNNNNNNNNNNNNNNNNNNNNNNNNNNNNNNNNNNNNNNNNNNNNNNNNNNNNNNNNNNNNNNNNNNNNNNNNNNNNNNNNNNNNNNNNNNNNNNNNNNNNNNNNNNNNNNNNNNNNNNNNNNNNNNNNNNNNNNNNNNNNNNNNNNNNNNNNNNNNNNNNNNNNNNNNNNNNNNNNNNNNNNNNNNNNNNNNNNNNNNNNAGUACUGGAGGGUGCGGUCAUGUAAAGCAGGUUAUUUUUAUAUGAAAUAGACACGAUGUGUUUUUCAGGAUAGACACCCGUAUCAAGUUUGGGAGGGAUCAUUAGAAAAUCUCUGUGUUGCGAUUUCUCUUCGUGGAAAUUGUUUUGCACGUGAGUACCUUCGUCGAGAUUGGUUUUCUCGUGCUGGACCGCAAGGUUUAAACCCUCUACUUCGUGUACAUUACGUGCGCGAGCGAGAGGUUGCUACUGCUGGUGAUGGAGUGUCGUGAAAGGUUGGGCCGCAACAACGGACCGGAUCUCGCAUCGAGGUUCGGUCUUUAUCAUGGCAUCUAGAAAAUCCGGCAAUGAAAGCUCCCAUCUAUUUCCCGCGGCGAGCACAACAUCAAGCAGUCAAUCACACAAGAAGCACCAAGCAU
rnacentral:lncRNA from 1 species